rnacentral:tRNA from 2 species
AGAUAAAAUUUAAAACCUUUCACAAGCA